UACGUAGGGUGCAAGCGUUAAUCGGAAUUACUGGGCGUAAAGCGUGCGCAGGCGGUUAUAUAAGACAGAUGUGAAAUCCCCGGGCUCAACCUGGGAACUGCUUUCAAAACUGCUGAGCUAGAGUACGGCAGAGGGGGAUGGAAUUCCGCGUGUAGCAGUGAAAUGCGUAGAUAUGCGGAGGAACACCAAUGGCGAAGGCAAUCCCCUGGGCCUGUACUGACGCUCAUGCACGAAAGCGUGGGGAGCAAACAGG
rnacentral:rRNA from 1 species